rnacentral:rRNA from 1 species
AGUGAACGCUGGCGGUAGGCCUAACACAUGCAAGUCGAACGGCAGCACAGUAAGAGCUUGCUCUUACGGGUGGCGAGUGGCGGACGGGUGAGGAAUAAAUCGGAAUCUACUUUUUCGUGGGGGAUAACGUAGGGAAACUUACGCUAAUACCGCAUACGACCUACGGGUGAAAGCAGGGGAUCUUCGGACCUUGCGCGAUUGAAUGAGCCGAUGUCGGAUUAGCUAGUUGGCGGGGUAAAGGCCCACCAAGGCGACGAUCCGUAGCUGGUCUGAGAGGAUGAUCAGCCACACUGGAACUGAGACACGGUCCAGACUCCUACGGGAGGCAGCAGUGGGGAAUAUUGGACAAUGGGCGCAAGCCUGAUCCAGCCAUGCCGCGUGGGUGAAGAAGGCCUUCGGGUUGUAAAGCCCUUUUGUUGGGAAAGAAAAGCAGCAGGUUAAUACCCCGCUGUUCUGACGGUACCCAAAGAAUAAGCACCGGCUAACUUCGUG